GAUGAACGCUGGCGGCGUGCUUAACACAUGCAAGUCGAACGGGAAUUCUCUUAUUGAAACUUCUGUCGAUUUAAUGUACGUCUAGUGGCGGACGGGUGAGUAACGCGUGGGUAACCUGACUUAUACAGGGGGAUAAGGGUCAGAAAUGGUUGCUAAUACCGCAUAAGCGCAGAGAGCUGCAUGGCUCAGUGUGAAAAACUCGGGUGGUAUAAGAUGGACCCGCGUUGGAUUAGCUGGUUGGUGGGGUAACGGCCCACCAAGGCGACGAUCCAUAGCCGGGCUGAUAGGGGGAACGGCCACAUUGGGACUGAGACACGGCCCAGACUCCUACGGGAGGCAGCAGUGGGGAAUAUUGCACAAUGGGGGAAACCCUGAUGCAGCGACGCCGCGUGAAGGAAGAAGUAUCUCGGUAUGUAAACUUCUAUCAGCAGGGAAGAUAGUGACGGUACCUGACUAAGAAGCCCCGGCUAACUACGUG
rnacentral:rRNA from 1 species